rnacentral:lncRNA from 1 species
GGCGCUCGGGGGGAGGAAGCCCCGUGGGGGAGGGGCGGCGGAGGCCGGGGGCGGGGCUCCGGGAGGGGCGGGGCGCGGGGCGGCGGACCUGACCCAUAUCCCGGUUGUGCCCGCCCCUUGGAGCGGGGUUAGGGGGCCCUGGGGCUGGAAGUUAGGAGGAGGCCCCGCGCUGCUCUUGGCCGCUGGGAGAACGCGGGCCUGGGCGUCUCGGUUCCUUAGACUCAGGGCUGUAUUGUCCUCGAGCUUUGAGACUCCCCAGGAGUUGCGUCUCUUCUCCAUCCCUUGCAACAGUCUGAAAAUUACCGUGUACCAGAUUCAGUUUAUGCUACUUUGAACUACCUGUAUGCUGUCCUUGAGGAUUGAAUGUGGUCAAUCUCCUUCACAAAAUGACAUUUGCUUAGUAGAUCUUCAGUAUGUCUCCACAAUAAAUAAAAAAAAAAAAAUCCAGUGCUAGCAUGUGGUCCAGAAAACUGAUAAGUCGUCAACACAAAAACAGGGCAAUUAUAGAAGCGGCCUGGGAUGGUUGGGAGAUCUCUAGGGAUCCGUUUUGUACCGUCCCGCUUGAGGAAGUGGUAAAGGAAAAGCAACAUAAUAUAAAACAAUGAAGCAUUGACAAGACCGCUUGCUCAAAGGGAAGUGGAUGGGCCUUCUCAAAACUUAGAAUCAGGAAAGACAUCACAAAAUCGACCACUGAGGGCUCUGAUUACAAAGCACAGGAUAUAUUUUUUAUCAGAGCUCUGUGGUUGUGACUUCCACCCCACCCAAACCCAUACUUUUUGCAACCAUACCUAUACGCACAAGCAAAAAUUACUUCAGUGGCAUUGUUUUUAAGUACAGAAGGUAGUUGUGUAAACCUUCGACCAGAAUUUUUGGGAUUUGGUACUACUUUUCAGCCCUUGGUUGAUUUUUUUCAGUGUUAACAUUUGUGCACAGUGACAGCAAAUAACAUUCUUCUAGUUUCCCCCCACCCCCAUUUGUUGUUUAGUUUUAGAAUUUUAAUUCAGCCUUUCUCUUUUGGGUCUGUAGUAAGAAAGAUUGGAAAAACAUUGUAGUUGGGGCACUUGUGUGGCUCAGUGUUUGAUCCUCUGCCUUUGGCUCAGGGCGUGGUCCCCGGGUCCUGGGACUGAGUCCCUCCCUCUGCUUAUGUCUCUGCCUCUCUCUGUGUGUUUCUCAUGAAUGAAUAAAUAAAAUCUUAAAAAAAAAAAAAACAUUGCAGUCAGAUUACAAUUGCAGUAAAAAAUGAAUCCUACUUUAAGACAGGAAUUCCUCUAAACCCUUUCCUUUUAUUCAUGUCAAACAGAUUGUCACAAAAUCUGUUUUCUUUGAUUUCUUUGAUUUACUUAUUUGUAUUUGUAUUUUCAGUUUAAUUGCUUUAUCCCCUUGAUAAUUAAAUAAAACAUUCCUCAUGAUCUCGUACCCUGCUGCUGGCCUCAGCUCCUACCUUGCUUGUUCUCAGGCUGUUCCCCACAUUGGACUCCUUCUGCCAACACACCAAACACUUGCCAGCAAAGCCUUUGCUUGUCCCUCUGUCUGGAAGGCUUUCAGCUUAAUCUCGUGACUGUCUCCCUUUUCCUUCAUGUCUCCUGUCCUGACUAGCCUGUGUAAACCUGCAAACUGUGCCUCCCCUCACUCUCUAGCUCCUCAUUUCUCAGCACUUAGCACCACCUGACAUAUAUACUACCUGUCUCUGUUCCCACUAGAAUGUGAACCCCAUGAGAACAGAAUUUUGCCUGUUUGGCUCAAUGUUACACCUCAGUGUCUAUUAUUUAUCAAGUCUGUCACAUAGUAGAUACUCAACAAAUACUUUUGAAUGAGUGAAUGGCUUCACAUAGGAGAGAUGGCGGGUAUUCCUUUUUGUAAUAGUCAAAGGGCUUUCGUGCAAUUCAUCUUAUAACUGAGUCUUAGGACUUAGAUGUAUUGAUAAGGUCUAAAAUAAAGCCCACUUUCACCCUACUUAAUAUUUGAAAUAACUGUUUUUAAUCUCCUUUUCUGGCAAUAUACUUUGGAACAGGGUUUGAAAAAGUGUUUACAGCUAAAAAUUUAUGCUGAGAUUUUACAACUUGGCCCAUAAAUGGAUCCAUGGGAUCAGAGAGUAAUGAUAGACCAGUAAAUCCUGUCAAAGGCUUAAUAUUUUUCCCUGAGAUGAAACAAUAUAGCAGUGAUCAGAAGUGGAAUAAUUGAGCUUAAAUGUGAUGACUGAUAACUUGAUAGAUAGUAUUAAUGCUCUUUUGUUAGUUACUCUAAUAAUUUUAAUUGAUACUUGUGUUGGUGAAGUUAGCGAUGUUUUAAUCUGGUUAAAGUGCAGUUCUGAUAGAGAGCAAA